ACUGCUCAGUAACACGUGGACAACCUGCCCAAAGGUCCGGGAUAACCCCGGGAAACUGGGGAUAAUACCGGAUAAAUCACAAGUACUGGAAGGUUUUGUGGUUGAAACUUCCGGGGCCUUUGGAUGGGUCUGCGGCUGAUUAGGUUGUUGCCGGUGUAACGUACCGUCAAGCCUGUAAUCAGUACGGGUUGUGGGAGCAAGAGCCCGGAGAUGGAUUCUGAGACACGAAUCCAGGCCCUACGGGGCGCAGCAGGCGCGAAAACUCUACAAUGCAGGCAACUGCGAUAGGGGAACAUCGAGUGAUACUCAUCUUGGGUGUCUGUCCUCCCGUCUAAAAAACGGGAGUUAGCAAGGGCCGGGCAAGACCGGUGCCAGCCGCCGCGGUAAUACCGGCGGCUCGAGUGGUGGCCGAUAUUAUUGAGUCUACAGGGUCCGUAGCCGGCUUUGCAAGUCUUUUGGGAAAUCCAGCGGCUUAACCGUUGGUCGUCCGGGAGAUACUACAUUGCUUGGGACUGGGAGAGGUAGGAGGUACUCAGGGGGUAGGAGUGAAAUCCUGUAAUCCUUUGGGGACCACCGGUGGCGAAGGCGUCCUACCAGAACAGGUCCGACGGUGAGGGACGAAAGCUAGGGGCACGAACCGGAUUAGAUACCCGGGUAGUCCUAGCCGUAAACGAUGCUCGCUAGGUGUCACAACAAUCGUGAAUUGUUGUGGUGCCGUAGGGAAGCCGUGAAGCGAGCCACUUGGGAAGUACGACCGCAAGGUUGAAACUUAAAGGAAUUGGCGGGGGAGCAC
rnacentral:rRNA from 1 species